AGACAAUGAGCCCUCUCAUCCAUGAAUUUGCCUAUUCCUCUUUUAAAGCCAUCCAAAUUGGUGGCUAUCACCAUCUCCUGGGGGAACAAACCAGUUUUAAGGUUUAUUGUUACAUUACCAUGUUGCAUGCCCUCUUUUCACCAAUGAUUGCCAAAUGCUGCAAAAAAAUGUGAUCAGUUUUAACUGUACACAAACCCAGAAGGUCAAGAUGAUUACCCUAGCUCCAUAGUUGCAUUAGGAGGAAGUGUGACAUAGACAGUUAUCAUGCUUGCAACCCAGGUCAGAAAAGGGGGUAGAGAAGCCCAGUUCAGAUUCAACAGUGGAACGGUCUCCCUCAGGAGGUUGUGGACUCUCCUUCCUUGGAGGUUUUUAAGCAGAGGUUGGAUGGACAUCUGUCAUGGAUGCUUUAGUUGCAGGGGUUUGGAUUAGAUGACCCUCAGUGUUGCUUCCAACUCUACAAUUCUACGAUUCAUUUAUUCUAUGAUUCCUCUAUUUUAGCUCUUUUGACUCAUUGUUCUUUAUUCGCUUUACUCUCUAGAGUUCAGGAAAGUCUUGUGCUACAAACUCAAACCAGUUCCUAGCAUGUGAGUCCUUGGUAUUGUCGUUCUGUGAGAGAACUGGCAUUACUACAUGAAAGUAACAUUCCUUUAGGAAUCCUUACAAGCUGCGUUGAGAUCCUCACACAGGUGCUAUAUGUAGAAUUCAUACUGGCAUGAAUAUGAUCCAUACCCACUGGGCCAUAUCUUGAUUGGCAAUAGGGCAGGCUUCAGUCCUUAAGUAGGCAUGCAGAUGCAUUUGCAUACAUGCACAACGUUGCAGAUCUGUAUGUAAUGAAUCCUCUGGGGAGCUUGAUAUAGGGAGCGCUUUCAUACUAGACUGAGUGGGUGAGUACAGGAGUAGGAAUUCCUAAAAGGAAUGUUGACAGGCAGCCUGCAUUGUGCUCAAGCAACAGCACACACACUGAGUUUCCUUUUAAUUUAAUUUUACAGUGGAUUAGUCACCACCAGAGUCAAAGGGGCAGUAAUAUUGCCUAUGCGUUAUGCACACUGGUGGUUCACAUGAGUUCAUGUCCCCAGCAAACUGGCUCAGAAUUAAUAUAGCUCAUCUGUUGCAGAGGGUGGGAUGAAAAGUCACUGCAGAAUUAGACUAAUGCAAAGCAGGGAGUGUGAAUAUCUUAUCAUUAGGCAAGCAAAAUUCUCUGGAUCAUGGCUAAGCAUACAAGACCAGAGAAUGUAGCCCAUUACAAGUUGGAAGCAAAAGGCUUUUGAACUGGAUCUAUUACUAUAGAUGCUUCAUGUAAGCAAAAUAUAUAUUAUUUAGUUGUUACAUUUUUGUUCUGCCCUUCCUCCAAGCAGCACAUGGCUGUGUACGUGGUUCUCCCCCACCAUCUCAUCCUUACAAGAACUCUUUGAAGUAGUCCAUGUCAGACCUGAUCACUACACCAGCCCCAGAUUGGCAUAGUCAACAUCAGAUAUUUGUCUGCCUCUCUUCCUUCUGCCCCAGAAGAAUGGGGUAAGCAAUGGGGUUAUGGAUGAGGUGGUAACUAUGAGACUUCAUCAUGUCUCACUGCUGCCCUGGUGUGGUUUGGAUUGCUCUGUCAGGCUGUGAUCCUGGGGAUAUCGAAUUACUCUGUCCAGUGAUUAAGAGGGAAUCUAUUUGUCAGACCCCUCACCUGCCCAACACUGUGGAAAAAUCUGCAGCCCUGAUCUGGAAGAUGUCAAAGCUCCAAUAUCAGCAGGCCUUGAAAGAAGACAUGUCAGGGUAGUAUGUAUGGUGGAUGUGUUAUAAGUGAAUCCAUGGACUUCUCUGCUGCUCUCCACACCACCAGUGCUCCCAACCUACAAAGAGAUGGAUGGCAGCUCCUAAAUUGGCAUAAAUCUAUCCUGUUAAUCCUCCACCCCGAAACUGUUUAAAAGCAAAGCAAAGAGGGGAAAUAGUAAAAAGAGCACAAUAGCACUCCUCCAGACUUCUCUUCUGUCCUGCCUGCAGAAGCCCUGCGAUCAGGUGAUUAAAAUGUCUUUGGUCCCCGCCCCCCUAUCUUGCCAUAGGAUGGCAGCUUGAAUUUCCAAGGCAUAAGAUAUCACACAAUUUCCACUCCAUCUAUUCCAAUUCCAUAUCCCACUACGAGAGUAAAAAGACACUUAGGUCUGCAUUUUCUGUCAGGAGAUGUGCUAUUAAUGCAUAUCAUAGGAGGCUGUGAACUUGCUGGGUCACUGAAGUGGGUAGGGAAGCCAUUGUGUGGAUGGCUAAAGGCAUGGGUGGAGAGCUUCAUGCAGUCAUACUAGUCACACUUUUCUGGAGACAGCUACUAUUUCCAUCCUUGCCUGGUAAGAACUGUUGCCUUGCUUCCUCUUGAAGUCAGCUUAGGGGAGCACCUCCCUGGAACUAUUCAAGCCAAGCUAUUGAUUCUGGAGUUGGGUCAACCAGUCCCUCAGUAGGAACACCAGUUACUCAAAUGAGAAAAAUUCCCAACGUAUUCAAGAAUACAUUGGAUUUUAUAAGUCUCUAUGGGCAAACCACAUUAAUAGCCCCAUUCCUUCAGGGGUAGUCAGUUGCUAUCAUUCCAAACCACAUCAGGGAGAGAUCCAUCCAUGACCAGGGGGUGAUGGUUAUACCCUCCAGUCACCAAAUCUCUCCCAAUCUACUCUGUUCCAAAAACCAGGUCAAGAGUGUGUCCUGCAAUGUGCAUUGGACCCAUGGUGCAUUGAACAGCCCAUGAUUAUCACGGUGAACAUGAAUACAUGAACGGGACCCAACAAAAUGAGUCUAGCAUGGUCAUUGACUUUAGUAAGACUAUUAGCUCCACAAAGUGCAAAAUUUAAUCUGGAUUCAAAGGAUCUGUUGGUUGUUGUUAUUUGAUCUUCAGUGCCCCAGGAGCUAGAUCAAAAUCAUGCCAAUUUAACUGCUCUAGAGACUCAACUUAAGACAAUGCUUGUUGGGAAAUGGCCAUUUACAUUUGACAAACAGAGCUCAGAAGGAGGCUUAAUUAGGAUUGUCAAUUUACAUUCUCCCUGCAGCAAACUGGUUUCCCCCAUCAAAUUUUAUUAAGACGAAGUCAGAAAAUAACUGCAAUGUUUUUCUAUAUAUUAAUAUUGAUUUAAGUCUUCCCAUGCUCAUGCUUUUGUAGCCAAAACUGCACCACUGAUAACCAAGGGUAAAGCACCCGCAGACUCAGGGUAACCUCAAGGUUUACACAAAUACAAUAGAUCUGAAGGGGGGGGGAUGGAGGAACCUCAUGGUAGCCUCGUAAUAAUGGCAUGACAUGCAGAAAGAUUAGUGGAGGGGGAACUGACUAUUGGGUGGAGGAGGGAAUAGAAUGUAGUGGCUGGAACAGAGCAGAGAAACAUAGUUCACAUAUAUAAAGGAUAGGAAGAACCAUCUAAUUGUCUGGAUAAGUCACUUCCUGGUUCAUGAUGAGAAGCCAUUUUUAAAUGUCCCCAGGGAUGGAAGAAAGGCUACGAACAGACAUAUGUUAAACAAUGUAAUAGAGCUGGAGUUGAGCACAAAGUGUGUCUACCCCACCUAAAAAAGAACAAUAAUGGAAGCUGAGAAACCUCAAUACAGCCCAGUGAGAGCUGGGGAUGCUUAGUGAGCACAGAAAUACACAGCUGUCUUGAAAAACAAUAAUAAAGGUUUAUUUGAGCCUAGAAUUGGGUGUGUAUGUACCAAGCCUAUGUUGCUCAAUGACAUCUUAUUCUUCCAAACAAGAUGCUGUUAUCAGCCAUGGCAUAUGUGGUGGACAUUUAUCCAUUUCUCAACUCUGCCUUGGGUUCCAAUUGCAUUGCUCAGUACUGCUCAGUGCCUUGUAAAAGGUUUUCAUCUGAUCUCAUCUAAAUCUGUUGGCUGUAGGGACAGAAGUAAAAAGAGAUGCUUUAUAGAUGAACAGAAAAUUCCCUGGGGGGAUUUGUCUUUCAGUCUGAAAUGUGCUCAGGGGAUUGGGCGGAAUAUUGGCUGUUUCCAUGCAGUCACCAAGGGAGUGGUAGAAAGUGAAAUGUAUAAGUGUGUAGUAGGGAAACAGGAAAUAAAUUCCUUCCUUUGCAGUCACAGCUCUCUUACGAUGAAAAUGCAUCUCCCCAGAUUUCUUUGUGUUGCCAAUGGCACAAGCUUGAUUGAUGAAAUACUUGUGAAAUGGUUACAUAUGUGUUUCUGUGUUGCAGUGUAUACAAGGAAGUUGUGC